rnacentral:rRNA from 1 species
CCAGACUCCUACGGGAGGCAGCAGUGGGGAAUAUUGCACAAUGGGGGAAACCCUGAUGCAGCGACGCCGCGUGGGUGAAGAAGUAUUUCGGUAUGUAAAGCCCUAUCAGCAGGGAAGAAAAAAAUGACGGUACCUGACUAAGAAGCACCGGCUAAAUACGUGCCAGCAGCCGCGGUAAUACGUAUGGUGCAAGCGUUAUCCGGAUUUACUGGGCGUAAAGGGAGCGCAGGCGGCGCGCCAAGUCUGAUGUGAAACCCCGGGGCUCAACUCCGGGCAUGCAUUGGAAACUGGCGGGCUGGAGUGCCGGAGAGGUAAGCGGAAUUCCUAGUGUAGCGGUGAAAUGCGUAGAUAUUAGGAGGAACACCAGUGGCGAAGGCGGCUUACUGGACGGCAACUGACGCUGAGGCUCGAAAGCGUGGGGAGCA